AUCUUGCUGACGAGUCCCAAUUAAGACGAAAUGCGUAUCUUAUAU
rnacentral:hammerhead_ribozyme from 1 species